CUCUCCUGCUGUCCCCUCUCUAAUGCUGUGCUGGCACCGAGUCACCUCAUUCUGAUUUAACCUGUCCUGAAAAAUGCUUAAAUGACAAAUGGGACCACAGAAUGGGCAUGAGAACCUUCAUGUUCCUAAGGGAAUGCUUUAGCUUCUGAACUGCACAAAUAAUUCCCUUUCCCACAGAAAGCUGCUGGGCUGUGGUUCUGGGGCAGGAGUCUUGGCAUUUUCAGUGCCACCUUCACAGGGAUUUCUUUUCCUUGGAGCUCUUGGGAUCGGGAGGAAAUGCUGUUCAUGCCCCACUGGGAAAGCACGCAGCAGGAUCAGUGGUGCAGCUGUGUCUUUGUCCUGCUCUCUGCACUGUUCCAAGGAUGCCCUGGAGUGCUCUGGCUCAUGGCAGGAUAAUCUGUGCGUGCUACUGGGUCACUCACUGGGCAUCCCAUGGAAUCCUUGAGGUUGGAAAAGCCCUUUGUGAUGCUGAAAUACCCCCAAGAGAAACCUUUCCAAGCUGGAAGCAAAGUGGCAGGGAGGGAAUCCCAGGAGGGUGGUGGGAACAGCGUUUUCCCAGGUCUGGACACCGUCAGGGCAGGGGUGAUUUUGAAAUGUUUGUCUGCAUCUCCCUCCCUACACGAGAGCUGCCUCAGCCUGGAUGAGUGUGAGGGUAUCUCGCUCUUCCUUAGGGCUUGGAGCGUGGCAGGGUGCAGAGCUCAUGGUAAACCUUGUUUAAACACUUCUAAUAUCAAAGCGUAUUGAAACAGAGACUUUGAGGAAAUAGCACACAAAAGUCUAUUGCAAGCCUAGGUACAAGCUGUCCUUAUUAAAGAUCCACGUUGAUGGAUGUUUUGUCUAACCACUCUGAGGCCAGAAUGUGUCCAGAAGCUUUGUUAACCCCUUGUCCUCUGCUGGUAGGGACAGCGUCUUAGCCCAGGUCUCGGGGGCUGUGUGCAGAUUCCUCCCUGGAGCAGGGAACCCCCGUGAGGAGGAGCCAGAGAUGGGGACAUCGAACCAGAAAUGCUCAUCUGAGUGUGCACCCGCUUCCUGGCAAAUCCAGAUGUCACCUGGAAAUGCUAAGUGAGGAUUUCCAGCCUUGACUACAGGGGAGACAGCCUUCUGAAAAUGGAACUAACCUUGGCAGAAGAGCAGCUGUGAAGGGAAUCAAAACAAAAACACAGGACAGGAAAAAUCAUUACACUUCUCCUGUCUUUGCCCAGAUCUGUGGUGUUUGAGCAGCCAAAGCCAAGAGGCUUCAGCACCAGGGCUCUACCCUGGAGGGCUCCUGCUCCUGCCCCUGCUGUGGGGUCAGCAGGAACAAGAGGAAAUGGCGUGCCAGAGCCCUGUCCCAUCAGGCUGAGUUUCCCUCCGAGGACAGAGAGUCCAGGCUGAGGGAGAAGAACACAAACUCACAGCCAUUCAGGCCUGGCAGUCCCCUGCAGUGAGAGCUCAGCACACAUCCACAGAGACAAGUCCAGCAUCUGAAAGAAAACAAAGCAGAAGAAAAAGAGCUGCCCUUGAACACCAGCUGUGCCAGGAACGGGCAGAGAUUCCAAGGAAGCUCAGCAGCAUCCGGACAGGGACAGGUGAAUAUUCCAAAGAGUUUAUUGUUUGAAAUCCACAUCCCCCAGCGCCACCCAUGUGCCUGAGGGCCCUGGACAGAGUUGCCUGGAAUUCAGCUGAUUCAACCCCCUGAGCAAGGGCUCCAGGUGAUGUUUUCAAGCAGGAGAAGGCAGGGGUGGAGGCGCUCCCGGCCCAUUCCAGGGCAGCCCCGUGCACAUAGGAGGACAUCUCUCCCUGCAGAAGUUCAGUUCCUUUCAGGGCCUCAGCAGUGACCUCAGGAAAGGGGUGCACAUCUCUGCCUUCAGCACACCCCCAGUGGGACCCACCUGCAAAAGCUUUCCAUCCCUUCUGCACUUCCAGCUGGCUCCCUGGAAAACUCCCACCUUCACCCAAACAAAACUUCAUCCCACCCACACCUUUGAUUUUCGGUCAUCUCUGCAGGCUGCUGCUUGGGAUUUAGUAUCUCUAACAGAAGAUUGCCUUGGCUUUAAUGCUGCUGCUGGGUGAUGGCCUCAGGCUGGAAGGGAAGGGAUUUGGGGUGGCCAGGACAUACCUGGCAGCUGUGUGGGAGCUCUGGAAAGUCAGAACCAGGAAUUGCUGCCUGAGACCCUCUGCAGGCAGCCUGUGCUGCCAUCACCAGGGAAUUCCAGCUGUUCUUUGGGGUGUUCUUAGGGUGUCCCUGGCUUCUGUCCAGGCUGAAGCAUCUCCAAGUGCCUGUUCAGAGCAGCCCCUGGCCCAGCAGCCGCAGGCAGCCGUUGAGCUGUGUCCGUGCCAGCGCUGCCCGGGCACCCCAGCGCCCAUCCCUGGGGUGUGUUUGGCACAGGCAGGACACCGCAGAGCCCAAGGACAAGAGGUGCUGGUUGCCUUCCAGGGGCUCCCGGCCUCCUCCUACCCCACAUUCCCUGCCAGCUGAGACAACUAACACCAAGGAACGUUGCUGGCAGUGAGCAGGGGACACUGAGAAGCCUUUGUGCAGCUCUGGGCCACAAAAGCAGCCCCAGCUUCAGCAGCUACCAUCAUUUUAGCAACACUCACCUGCAGGAAAUGCCCCCUGCCACUCUCCAGGAGAAUUUUGGUCAUGCAGCAAGGACAGCCUCAGGACUUGUCCUACUCAUGUCUCCCUGAAAAAAGACAUUGCAAGAGUACAUUAACAGCUGCUGAGUAAUUCCUGGAAAGGGCAGGAAAAUCAGGGUUAUGGGAAGAGUUUGGUGCUGUUGUGUUGGCUGCCAGCCAGUUCUACCUUACAGCCAUAGCAGGGGCUGGUGUGUAAAGCAGCUUCAGCAGAAAAGAAGGAGCUGCAGUUCCUUUGCUGGUGCUCGGGAUUCUCCUCCUUGCGAGGUGCAUACUUGUGACCCAGAGAUUGGUUUGGUCGAUUGGACCCCAAUAGAUCCUGUGAUCUGAAAAUAAAGAAGAAAACUCUCAGCUGAGUUUCAGUAAACGAGGUUUUGCCCUUA